rnacentral:rRNA from 1 species
CCUACGGGUGGCAGCAGUGGGGAAUAUUGCACAAUGGGGGAAACCCUGAUGCAGCGACGCCGCGUGAGCGAAGAAGGAUUUCGGUAUGUAAAGCUCUAUCAGCAGGGAAGAAAAUGACGGUACCUGAGUAAGAAGCGCCGGCUAAAUACGUGCAAGCAGCGGCGGUAAUCCGGAUGGAGCAAGCGUUAUCCGGAUUUACUGGGCGUAAAGGGAGCGUAGGCGGCAUGCCAAGUCUGAUGUGAAAUACCGGGGCUCAACCCCGGGGCUGCAUUUGAAACUGGCAGUCUUGAGUGCCGGAGAGGCAGGCGGAAUUCCUGGUGUAGCGGUGAAAUGCGUAGAUAUUAGGCGGAACACCAGUGGCGAAGGCGGCCUGCUGG